UCUAGGUAUCGCUAAAGAAAAGGGACCAGAUGAAUACCAAAUAUUCCCAACAUUAGGGAACAAAGCACACUGGGUCCUAAGGAAAAAGAUGGACUCAUCAGGAAGUAGAUUUGAGAGAAGAAUCGGUGGCUGAAAUAAGAUCUGUCUUCAAGGCCCAGAUGCAGGACUUUGUGCUGGCCAACCCCAACAUCUACACCAAAGAGCUGUUGGAGCAUGUAAACAGGCUGAUCCUGUACACCCAAAGCUGAAGGCUCUCCAUGACUAAGGACUCUACUUGGCUCAAUUCAACUAUCAAGCUACUGGCAACCUAAAAUCCAAGCCUAUAUUUAACUUCAGGUACCCUGAAAAAUCUAUCCAACACUGAAGACAUGAAGGAAAAAGAACACCAUGACGACAGCUCUCCCAGUUUGAGGAUGUGUCCCUCACACAAUGAUACAGGGCCCAUAACUGCUCCUCUUCUCAGUGACGAGG